GGUUGGGCGAAAGCUUCAAGAAGUUAACUAGUCGGGGAGCUAGUU
rnacentral:ncRNA from 3 species